UACGUAGGCAGCGAGCGUUGUUCGGAGUUACUGGGCGUAAAGGGUGUGUAGGCGGUUGUUUAAGUUUGGUGUGAAAUCUCCCGGCUCAACUGGGAGGGUGCGCCGAAUACUGAGCGACUAGAGGGCGGGAGAGGAAAGUGGAAUUCCUGGUGUAGCGGUGAAAUGCGCAGAUAUCGGGAAGAACACCCGUGGCGAAGGCGGCUCUCUGGGACGGUACUGACGCUGAGACGCGAAAGCGUGGGGAGCAAACAGG
rnacentral:rRNA from 1 species